AGUCACUGACAUUAGAUACCCCUGUAGUCCAGGGUGUAAACGCUGCAGACUUGGUGUUGGGGGCCCUUUGGGGGCAUUCAGUGCCGGAGAGAAGUUGUUAAGUCUGCUACUUGGGGAGUACGUCCGCAAGGAUGAAACUUAAAGGAAUUGGCGGGGGAGCACCGCAACGGGAGGAGCGUGCGGUUUAAUUGGAUUCAACACCGUAAAACUCACCAGGGAAGACUGUUACAUGAAGGCCGAGAUGAAGACUCUGCUAGAUUUUUCAG
rnacentral:rRNA from 1 species